ACUGUCGAGACUCGACAUUCCAAAUUCCUUCACAAGAGAGAAGAGAAGGGAAAAGUACCUCUUCCAGUGGAACCCCACCAUUUGUUAAUUUGUGCAGUUUACCGUCCUAUUUUACGUGAAAUACAUACAGUGAUUAAUGUUUAUCAUAGACUUACUGUUGGUGCUUCUGCUUGAAAUAUGGACUAACAGACAUCUGUUUGAAGUACAUCAAGCACACAGAAGGGGAAGACUACCACAGUAGAGAAGGAGGCUACUUGGAGGUAUAUAGUGGAAUACAUUAGUUCUCUCUCCAUAUUUCCGACCUUUACUGAUAAUGCUUGAAAUCUGAACUACUACUGUUGAAAGGGGAGGUCAGAAUUAUAUCAGGCAAAGGAACUGGUAAGUCUAUGAGUAGGAGAUAGGUGUAUGUCGAGUUAUUAAGUAUAUAUCCCAUCCCCUACUCUUUCCUGCAUUUGUUGUGGUUCUGACCUCUUUGAAUGGAUGUGUAGUUCCAUAUUUCAUGCGUUAUCAGUAAAGGUUUGAAAUUUUGUAGGUAGAAUUAUGUUCUAAUAUAAACCUCCCUCACAAGCAAAAACCACCGUCCAAGAUAUGAAUAGUCAUCACUGAGCAUAAAAGUAGUUUUAGUCACUUUUGCACAAUAACCUUUAAAUAAACAACAGAUACCUGUACAUGUUAACUUAUGCUCAACUAUAGGGUAUGAAUACCAUUUUAACAAUAAAUAUCCUAUAAUUCAGUUCUUGCAUUCAUGUAUGUCAACAUCCUUAAGUAUCCAUGUGGUAAAUGUUGUCUCCUCUCUAUAUCCUCCAACAUGCUGAUGCUUUAGUUGUCUCCUCUCUGAUAAACCUAAGUAGCUCUGAUAGUCUGCUUUCCAUUCUGAUGGAAUAGUAUACUAUAAGUCCUCAAGUAGCAGUCUCCUCAGUUUUGACAGAUGUCAAUUCCACUACAUCAUUAUCACUGCUUUGUUCCUCCCCGAAAUAUAUCUGGAAGUUAGGAGAUAUCUUCGUCCCUCAUCUUUUUCUUCGUAGUCUUUCCAUAUCUGUUGAUGGAGCUCACGUCAUCGUCUUUCCCAACAUACCACAAGAGAUCUGUAAUACACAGACAAACUCACUAAAUAUCCUUGAAUAAAGCAUUGUAUAUAGUACUCGCAUUCUAGAUAACCUAAGAUAAUUAUGUUCGGUUCAUUUUAAUGAGAAUUACUUGGAUCUUAUAUCAGUUCCAAGAUAGAUCUAAUACCUGUAAAAUGUCUUUGUUCUUGCUAAUUAAAAUUCUAUGAAAUUU